rnacentral:lncRNA from 1 species
GUGGAAAAUAGCCUCAAGGAUGAGAUGAUGAGGAUUUUGAAGAUGGCGCCUACCUUCGGGGUGUGGAGGUAGAGACAGGAGAGAAGCUCAGGAUGCUGCUCAGAACAACCCAUGGCUCAGACUUCCCACCUGCAAGAUGAGCAGACGGGCAGAAGGGUCCUCUCCUUGUCUGCCACCCGCAUGGCGUGCUGUGAGGAGCCUGUGAGAACCUGCCCAUCACCAUGAGAAGUGCAACACCAACCUCAGGUGGAAGGUUGUUUCUCUGGAGAAUCCUGAUUAAUACAUGAAGGGUCAAGAUAAGUCUACUCCAGGUGAAGUGCAAAAAAUGAACAAGGAGGCCCAAUGAUGCAUCUGCUUAACUUUUCAGUUGUCAAUGCAAAUUAAGCACAAAGAGGACAGAGUUGAUGACAUAUCAGGAACAUUUUUUACUUCCGGAGCAGGUCUGAGUCCCAGCGGAAGACUGAGGCCGACUGAGCCAGAGGCACCACUUCAAUAGGUCACUGGUCUCUGCAGGGAAAGGAAAAGGUGUAAGAGUUCUCCCUGCAUAGAUGCUAUUUGUGACUUGGAUGUUUUCUUUCUAAUACAAAUGCAUCAAAGUGUUCACAGGAAUCUAGCUAUAUGCAAGAAGUCUGGAUUAUCUGCCUGAGAGAACUGGCCAGUAUCUCACCCAUGAGCACCAGAACCCAUUUCUAGAUUACUAAGAAAGGAGCACAAGAACACUGUGUAUAAGGCUCUGUGUUCCUAGAACUUUCUAAAUUUUACUUAAUGCAGGUUAACUUCAUCAACCCUGGUGAAAAUGCCACCUCCUCAUGAGGAAGCCUUCCCCAUUUGCUCUGUCUCAGAGACACUUGACUCCAUGGACUUCUCUGCAAUUCUGUUCUGUGUAGGACUGCCUAGUGCCUAGCCUUCUUGUGAUGUUCCUUGCUUAUGUCUUGUCUCCCCAUUUGAUUUGGAGGGUCCUGGGCAGGGACCACUGGGCUGGGCUCUAGUAGGCCCCCUGUAAAGACCUGUUGAGUAAUUAGAAGAGACAGUGGCCCCAUCUGGGUGAAUCCUGAAUUUAAUCAAUUUCCUGGAUCCUUGUUUAUUUUGCAAGUAGGAUAAGAAUGUCAUUGAAAUCCUAUCAUGUAGUCAUGGAAGGGCUAAUACAGUCAGUGUACUGCUACUCACUAAGCAUGCUGUUUAGCUCAGCGGUUUUUUGUUUUGUUUUGAUAACAAGACUGUCUCGAUGAAAGAAGCAGGGCGUUGUUUAAUAUUCUAAUGCAGGCUCCUUAUUUCACGACAUACUGGUAGUUACACUUGGAGUCGCAGUGAAAUAAAACAUCUAGGCCAGC